GUGACGUUUUGUUCAUGUGGUCAAGAUGUCAGGCGCGGCGUUCUUGUUUCAUCGAUGGACGAACAAUCAUCGUUCAAGUUAAUGAAAAUUAUCAUAACAAGUUUCAAAUCUUUGAUUCACCACGUGUUUGCCAUGCAUUUAAGUAGGCGCUUUAGAAACGGUCGCAUAACAUCUGUUGCCUAAUAUUUACUGUUUCAAUAUUGCUUUGGAAUGACCGAACAACAACCACUACUUUACUUCGGAAGUAUUUAACUAGAUUCAUUACAGCGUUUAUGUAUUUCCCGGCUGUUAUGUGGGGCGUUGCGGGGAAAUAUUUUAGCUGUCGAAAUGACUCCGUGUACUGAUGACUAAGUCUACCGGGUAAGUUAUCCAAUGAUUGGCUUGUUUACAUAUUUUUGAAUGGAGCUGUUCGUGAAAGAAUAUGAGUGACGUUAAAAAUAAAAUGAUAAAAAUUAAAAAAAAGACGAGAGCGUAGAGGAAAUUGAUAACAAAAUCUAAACAGGAAAAAGGAUACCAAAUAAUCAUGUACGGUGGAAAUGUGCCGGAUUGUGAUAUUCCUGAGUGGAAAAAAAUCUUAAUCAUGAAAAAGCGUGCUGGGUGUAGCCCUGCUUCUGAGCCAGAUGGUUUUUGUGAAGAUAACAACAAAUCAAAAGUGACGGAUCAUCCUAAAACCGUUAAAAUUGGAAGUAUUAAUAUUGAAUUAAGAAGUGUGAAGCCUGUUGAUACUCCAAAUUCUUUGGUGGAGGAAAAAAAUAAUUAUAAUUUUGAUGAAGCUGAGCAAUUCUCGGAAGAUUUACGGUAUGGUCCAGGUAUUGUGGACCGAUUACGGGCAAGAUUUCUCAAUAUCGGUGUUAAACAACAGGUGAAACCAGUAGUACGAAGGUUUUCCAGUUUAGAGAAUCUUCCUGGAAUUCCCUACAGAGUUAAUACUAGAGGGAUUCGCCAGAACGGUUUUAAAUCUGGAUUCAGUGCGGGCAACGUCAAGAAAGCGCAAAGUAUGGAAACUUUGAGUUGCACGACACCUGAGCAACAUAUAUUUUCUUCAAGCCGUCGACCAAAUGCUCGCCUAGUUGUUGGUGCUAAAGUAAGAAUUUUGUCAAAAAAUGCAACUCCCACUGACGAAAAUGAUACAUUACCGAGGGUAUUUAAUAAAUCCACACGCCGAUGGGAAUACGGAAGAAGUGUUUCAGCCCCGAACAUCAACGAAGACGAGCUUCCAAAACCAGACACGGUAAAGCACGUGAAAAAAAUAUUCGAAUCACCACUUGGGAAUAAUUCCGCGAAAACUACAAUCAGCAGUUUAACUCCGCGUUUUCGUAAAAGUACGACGACCCCUGCUACUCACGCAGUCUGCAAUGAUAGUGCCAUAAUCGAAAGUGUAGCUUGGCCAGCGGUCAAGAAAAGUGUGGAGGAUGCCAAAGCAACGUGUGCCAAAGAUUUUUGUAAUGUAAACAAUGCCGCGCCUUCUUCACCUGUGCCUGAAGAGGAGAAAUAUGACGAAUUCGUGAUAAAUGAAAUAGUUGAUAAUGAUUUAUCAGCUAAUAGGUCAUGUGAAUCCGAAAUUGCGCAAGAAACCAGCGACCUUUUAGAAGAAAACGAUUGUCAGUUCUAUUCCUCGGAUCCUGAUCCACCUAACAAGGUCACGCCCGAGCGCUUACCUUUCGAGUUGUCUCAUAAACAAUCCGACUCAUUGUCUCAAGAAUCCAGCAUUACGACGGGUGACCAGACAGUGAUGGUCGUUGCUGGAGAGGACCCCCAGAAAAAGUCUUGGCAAAAAACUCCCCAGCCUACUACCUCCAUUGUUUUUGAUUUUCGAGGGCGUAAAGAUGUGGAGCCGCACAUAUCUCUUAAUCCAGCACCUUUUGGAUGUCGACCGGCAAAAAUUUCCCGAAAUUCCGGCUCCAAGCGUACCGGAUCUCCGCCCCGUGUCAACGGAAUUCUUCCGGAAGAUGACCAUAAUGAUGAAGAAGAUUGGGAUGAGAUGGAUAUAGGAGCUGAUCUUCCUCUUAUUUCUGGGAUUGUGUUUGCUGGAGAAAAUGUCAAAGUUGGUAGAGGCUCUUUCUUAGAAACAAGAAAUAAAAAGGGGAAUGUUUGCGUAAUGCAGUACCUAUGACAUAUGACAAGUCUGGUGAAGUGGGACAUUUAAAUCUGCAUAAAUAACAAACUCAAUAUUCAAUUUGAUGAUAAUGCCACCUCUACUUUUGAAUACCCUUCAGAAAACACCAGUUUUUCUCCAAAUGAAGAAAAAGUCCCAUUUGAUUCCUCUAUUGCCAUGGGAUCUGCUGCCAAUUCUAG
rnacentral:misc_RNA from 1 species